rnacentral:rRNA from 1 species
UACGAAGGGUGCAAGCGUUACUCGGAAUCACUGGGCGUAAAGCGUGCGUAGGCGGUUCGUUAAGUCUGCUGUGAAAGCCCUGGGCUCAACCUGGGAACUGCAGUGGAUACUGGCGGACUAGAGUGUGAUAGAGGAUGGUGGAAUUCCCGGUGUAGCGGUGAAAUGCGUAGAGAUCGGGAGGAACACCAGUGGCGAAAGCGGCUCACUGGACCACAACUGACGCUGAGGCGCGAAAGCUAGGGGAGCAAACAGG